GAUUCUUUCGAUUAAUCCGGGUUCGGGUUGUUACAAAUGGUAUCAGAGCAGGGACAGAAAUGAAGGCAUGCCAUUUUUCAUUUUCCUGAGUUGAUAGUGUUAGUACUGAAUGCUGAUUCCAGGGUAUAAUUUCUGGUCCAUUUGUUUUAAUUUUUGCCUUUGGGGCACAUGCAAGCAUUGUAUUUGUUGUUGUUUUAUGUUGGUCAAGUAGACAGUUGUUUUGUGUUCUGGGGUUGCUUAUCUUUCUUGAAAUGAUUAUAUACUGUUGAUAGGUUUCCUUCUUGAAACCUGGUAUGGUGAAAUCAUUUUGACUUGUUAUAUAAUUGCAGCUUCGUAUCAGUUUGGGUAUCAUAAAUUACUGAUUAUAUUGAGAUAGUAAUGGUACUUGCUAGUAUAAGGUAUAUCAGAUUUUUUCCCAUGGGAGUUUCAAUAGUUGAAAAGUUUGAUUAGAUUUUUGGACCUUAUGUAUUAAUGUACUGUAGAUAACCCAAGAAUCUAUGACUCCUUGUCUAGAUUUAGAAUCUUAGCUUUUUCACGAGUUGGUUUGGCCUGAGAGCUUUAUUUCAGAGGGGUUUAUCAGGAAUAUGAAUAUAUAAGAAACCAGUCAAUUUCAAGGGAUGCCUGAUGCUUCCUAAUGAAUAUAUUUUCAAUUUCAAUUCAAAAUAAGAGCUUAAGAAAUGGAAUGGUCAGAAAUGAAAACAGUAAGUUUUGGCAAUGAUGUUGAGUAUU